AUAGAGAUAAUUGUCAAACUUAAUUAUCAAGUGAAAUCCAAAAUAUAACCUUGGAAAUUUCCAAACAUAUACUGUACUACUGCCUUUUCUGAUGUUGCACUUUUAUAGCAUAAAUUGAAUACACAUUCUAAAGCAUGUGUUUUCAAUUUAGGAGUUGGAAAUGACCCCAGAGAAGAUUGUUACUUCAGCAUUCCCAAAGAAGUAGUUUUGUUGUGGUUGAUGACAGUGGGAAGGUGAAGGCUCUUGAAUCUGGCAGCAAGGUGACAUGCAUUGUUUCUAAAGUUCUCUUCUAUGAACAAGUGUGUGCUCUUCGGAAGUCACCGAAAUGAAGUCUUCAAAGAAACAGUUUUGGAUGAUUCUAAUGGAAGUCGAGAGGGAGAGACUUCGCAACAAGAAGAUAAUGAUCUUGAAUCGAGUUGUGAUGAGGACGAUGUACUACCUCCACUUGAAGCCAAUACAAACAGAAAUAGACCGUUUGAAUUGCACCAGGAAUCUGAUUCAGGUUCAGAAUC